GAGACAUGUCAGAUCUACGCCCGAGG
rnacentral:piRNA from 1 species